ensembl:rRNA 5S_rRNA 5S ribosomal RNA
AUCUGUGGCCAUACCUCUCUGAACACACCUCAUCUCAUCUGAUCGCUGAAGCUUAGUAGAGUUUGGCCAGGUUAGUGCUUGGAUAGAAGCCAAAGGGGAAGGGAAAAGAGAGCUAGUCCCGGUCUCUUUAAAUA